rnacentral:rRNA from 1 species
UACGGAGUUAGCCGAUGCUUUUUCUUCGGAUACACGCAGUCCGGGACACGUCCCGGGUUUUGUUCUCCGACAAAAGAGGUUUACAACCCAUAGGGCCGUCUUCCCUCACGCGGCUUGGCUGGUUCAGGAUCUCUCCCAUUGACCAAUAUUCCUCACUGCUGCCUCCCGUAGGAGUCUGGUCCGUGUCUCAGUACCAGUGUGGGGGACCUUCCUCUCAGAACCCCUACGCAUCGUCGCCACGGUGGGCCGUUACCCCGCCGUCAAGCUAAUGCGCCGCAUGCCCAUCCUCUUCCGAUGAAUCUUUCCUCGAUCUCGGAUGCCCGAAACCGAUAUACGCGGGAUUAGCCUCCCUUUCGGAAGGUUGUCCCCCUGAAGAGGGCAGGUUGCAUACGUGUUACUCACCCGUGCGCCGGUCGCCGGCAAGGAAAGCAAGCUUCCCUCCCGAUGCCCCUCGACUUGCAUGUGUUAAGCCUGCCGCUAGCGUUCAUCCUGAGCCAGGAUCAAACUC